GUGUACACACAUACCACCCUGAAGGUGUCCAGUCUAAUCUGAUCUCAGAAUUUAAGCAGGGUCGGGCCUUUGUUACUAUUUGGAUGGGAGACCAGUAGUUCUUUAACAAGUACAAA
rnacentral:rRNA from 1 species